rnacentral:rRNA from 1 species
UGGGGGAAUAUUGCACAAUGGGCGCAAGCCUGAUGCAGCAACGCCGCGUGAGGGACGACGGCCUUCGGGUUGUAAACCUCUUUUAGUAGGGAAGAAGCGAAAGUGACGGUACCUGCAGAAAAACGCACCGGCUAACUACGUGCCAGCAGCCGCGGUAAUACGUAGGGUGCGAGCGUUGUCCGGAAUUAUUGGGCGUAAAGAGCUCGUAGGCGGUCUGUCGCGUCUGCUGUGAAAACCCGAGGCUCAACCUCGGGCCUGCAGUGGGUACGGGCAGACUAGAGUGCGGUAGGGGAGAAUGGAAUUCCUGGUGUAGCGGUGGAAUGCGCAGAUAUCAGGAGGAACACCGAUGGCGAAGGCAGUUCUCUGGGCCGUAACUGACGCCGAGGAGCGAAAGCGUGGGGAGCGAACAGGAUUAGAUACCCUGGUAGUCCACGCCGUAAACGUUGGGCGCUAGAUGUGGGGCACCAUUCCACGGUUUCCGUGUC